UGGGAAUUUUGGACAAUGGGGGCAACCCUGAUCCAGCAAUGCCGCGUGUGUGAAGAAGGCCUUCGGGUUGUAAAGCACUUUUGUCCGGAAAGAAAACGCCGUGGUUAAUACCCGUGGCGGAUGACGGUACCGGAAGAAUAAGCACCGGCUAACUACGUGCCAGCAGCCGCGGUAAUACGUAGGGUGCAAGCGUUAAUCGGAAUUACUGGGCGUAAAGCGUGCGCAGGCGGUCCGCUAAGACAGAUGUGAAAUCCCCGGGCUUAACCUGGGAACUGCAUUUGUGACUGGCGGGCUAGAGUAUGGCAGAGGGGGGUAGAAUUCCACGUGUAGCAGUGAAAUGCGUAGAGAUGUGGAGGAAUACCGAUGGCGAAGGCAGCCCCCUGGGCCAAUACUGACGCUCAUGCACGAAAAGCGUGGGGAGCAAAACAGGAUUAGAUACCCUGGUAGUCCACGCCCUAAACGAUGUC
rnacentral:rRNA from 1 species